rnacentral:rRNA from 1 species
GAAUCUUCCGCAAUGGGCGCAAGCCUGACGGAGCAAUGCCGCGUGAAGGAUGAAGCCCCUCGGGGUGUAAACUCCUGUCAGGGUUUACCAACACAAUGAGGAGACCCAGAGGAAGGGCCGGCUAACUCUGUGCCAGCAGCCGCGGUAAUACAGAGGGCCCGAGCGUUAAUCGGAAUCACUGGGCUUAAAGCGUACGUAGGCGGACCUGAAAGUGCUUUGUGAAAUCCCACGGCUCAACCGUGGAAUUGCUCGGUAUACUACAGGUCUUGAGGUAGGUAGAGGUUAUCGGAACUCUAGGUGGAGCGGUGAAAUGCGUAGAUAUCUAGAGGAACGCCAAAGGUGAAGACAGGUAACUGGGCCUAUCCUGACGCUGAGGUACGAAAGCGUGGGGAGCAAACGGG